AAAACGAUAAUUUCAUCGAUUCUGACGAUCGUUUCAUGUAAAAAAAUGAAUAAAUUAAUACAUAAAUAAUAAAAAUGAACAAAGUCACGGACCACGGUUCAUCUUUCAUUGCGCUCCUUAUGCUCAGGCUAUGUUUAGUGUCUGGCCGACGGCUUUAUUGGCUUGUCGGCGGGCCGUCAUUUUAAAAGGCACGACACCAAUCAAACGUAUUGUGUUGUUAUAUUAAUGCAAAGACACACUGCUCAAUAUUUUAAAGAGGGCUGAAGAUCUUGAUGGCCGAAUAAUAAAAACAACAAAGCAUCUAAAUUGAGGGUUUACGGGCUCAGCUUUUGAAUGCGUCCGAAAGGCCGAAUCAACACACGCGGCGCGACAUGCGCCACGUUGUCGUCGCGACACAGCCGCGAUCUCUCGCCGAGGUGAGCGCGCGUUUGAACCUGUCGUCACACGCCCGCGGCCCCGCCACCGACACUUGGCCGGCGUGACGCGGGGGGCCGAGAACAAACAUGACGAAGAAUCGCCGACGCUUCAUUGAGUACACCUGCGCAAAAUUUCAAUAGCUGAUAGUCAGAGAGAUGUUCAUUUAACAAUAUGUUUAUUACUGCGGUUGUAGUUCGCAGGGCCGUACAACUCCAGUAACUUCUUUGCAUUACAAUUACAAAAUUCCAUGUUGCCUCACUAAUAAACGAAAUACGAUAACCAAAAUAUUAGCGACACCGCUCACCGCAAUUAUACACGGUACAUUUUCCAAUUAGAAUGGCACUUUCCCAGUUUGGAUCAGCACCGAGAUGUCUGGAAAUCAUUUUGACAUGAAAAUUCAUACAUUUUUCAUGGAAAUACGAAGAAGAAUAUGAAAAGGAAUUCAAGAACGGCAACGUCUGACAAUGCUACAGCAGGUUAAAAAAAACCAAAGUUCUCAGUUUCUCAGCUCAAAUCUUGACUCCUUCAACUUCCUCUCAAAAUGUACGCGAGUCUAAAUUGUGAUCAUGAUUUCAGUCAGCAUGUCUGCCUCACAGUUUGAGGUUCGGGGUUCGAAUCUCGGCUCGGCCCCCCUCAGUCCCGAGCGGCGGUUUCAUGUUCUACAAAGUGCUUGCGUGGAUUUUCCCUCUGAUUACUGCGGCUUUCCCAAAACAUGCGAGACGUGAAUCGUCCACAGGUGUAAACGUAACUGCGAAUGGCUACGUGUUAGGCUGCGCCGUAAGUGUGCUUGACAAGCAACCGAUCAAGGGUGUAUUACGCCACGCGGUGUUUGCCAAAAGAAAAACGGAUGCAUGGAGGGAUGGAAGUUACAGUAUGAACAAAAAGGACCAAAUCUUAGAAACUACUCCCAGGACGUCACUGACCACAACAAUCACAAAAACAAACAUUGAAUGAAAUUGCUUUUGGAUGUGGUGGCUCUAAGAUUUGCCUUUGUAAAUUUGCAGCUGGUUUCCUGUUUUUGUGCAUUGUCGUGGCCACCAUCAACCUGCGAGAGACAUUGUCCUGCCUCUUCCCGCCAGCAGAAGGCUCCCUCAGAAAAGGAGCGGCGCAGGCUGUCUUCCUGCCAAAGUGGCGAGAAGGGAAAAGGCGACCAGGUGCAGCCCUGCAUUACAUCCGCUCGUCUUCAAGGACAAAGACAAAGCUCGCGCCGCCCGUCCGACGCAAUGAUAACCGGCACAUCCUGAAGAAGACGGCCAGGCUAAAUCGCAUUGUUCUCCCGCCGUGGCGGCUCUUUUGUAAUGACGAUUCAAGCCCGAGUCGCCCUGUGACCUUUGUGGCGAGCGGGGGGUCCAGAUGGAGAGCUCGGCCGCCCUCUUUUCUUCUUCUAGCCUUUUUUUCUGCCUUCCUUCUCUUUUUCUCCUCAAGCAAUAUCAUCAUCCAUUCGCAUCAGCUCCAACACGUGAGCAAGCUCGACUCGAGAGGCAAAUGUCAAUGGCCAUCAGACGGCUGGAAAAGAGCUGGCUGGCAUCCACCGCCGCACCGCCUGCUGCGUGCAGACAACGGGAGCGUAAAUAAACAGGCCGAUUGAGCCACCCACACGGGGAAGCAUCAAGGCCACCAAAACAGCGCUUCAAAUGGCUACGGUCAUGUGGGCACGGAGGGCCACCGUUUCAGCUGGUUAGCGAACGGGAAAACACACAAAUAUGAGGACAUUCGCAAGGACUCCGGCCGACUACAAUUCUUGACGCCGCCCGCUGGGCCACGCCCCUUAAAGGCACGCAGACACACUCCAUCACAUGUAACACACAAAUACAGCACAACAGUACGUAUGGUUGCUGCACUUCAUGAAACUUUAUUUCUUGUCAUUCUCGUUUGUUAUGUUUUCAUAAAAUGCAGUCCCAUUUUUCUUGAUUAAAGCACAACAAAAAUUUGAUGUGAAGUCAUAAGUCAUAAUGAUAAGUCAAAGUAGCACCAAAAUGGGCCAAAGACUCGCUUUCUUCACAUUUCAUGAAUUUCUAUUUUUUC